rnacentral:lncRNA from 1 species
AAAAAGUAAUAUUAUACGUAAUUUUCAUAACAAUUUUCAAUGAAAUAACUGGAUUUAUCUUCUGUAAUGUUGUUAGCCGAGAACUAUCAGAAUGAGAAUACUGUCAUUUUAUCGACUUACACUUGCAUCUUUGUUAUUAGUCCUAUGCUAUUCACAAAAAAACACAGGUAAGAACUAUUGCGAAAUAUUUGUUUUUAAAGAGAAGUUUAAUAAAAAAAAAAUGUUGAAUAUGAUUUUUUACUAGAACGGCUAAGUUUUACUAUAAAACACAGGUACAUAUACUAAAACCAAUGAACAUAGACUUUAUCUGAAAUAAAAAUCAUAAAUAUUUCAUCCAGAGCUUUAACGAUCAUCUUCCUGUACUCUAGUUCACCGACUGCUUUGUUUUGUAUUGCCGCGCGAGACGUUUGCGCUUUUUGAAAGAACAUUUGAACUGUUUUUAAUUAACAUUUGAGCAUCAAAUGAUAAGGACAUCAAUUUUGCUCUUUACUUUAUCAUAAAAUUCUAGUUUUGAUGUUCCUUGUUUGGACUUGAGACCAGCAGUUAAUCAGGUAAAACAUUGUACGACAUGUCCUACAUAUAUGCAAUCAUUAGAUGUAUAUUUGGUAAUAUCUAUCAUGGUUUUAAUUGAUAGGGUAUAGACCUGCAAAAUUGCGGGGAGUGGGAGGGAGGAGUGGUUCUAGUUUGCGGAUAUGCAAUCCUUUUUUUUUUUGGCGAAUAAGUGAAACUGCGAUAUAACAAAAUAUGCAGAAAUGAAAUACGACCGAAUGUAUAUCUUUACAAUACCAGUAUUAAAAACAAAAAUAUGGAUAAUUUAUUUUAUGUUGAAAUCUCACCAGGUAAAGAAAGCAAUCAAACUUUAAAUUGUUUACUUUUUACAUACUACCAGUUUAUAUUUAGAACUAUAAAUGAACGUUCCCAAUACGCACGGGGUCAUUCGGUUUAACGAGAGAAAUGAUCGUGAAAGAAUAUCUAACGGCGGUCAAGUAUUGAGAGACGAUCGUGAAAGCUCUGGUACCGGAUCGUGAAAUAAUUUUAAUGUAAAUUCUAGUUAAGAAAUCUUGAAAAAAAUCGACAUGAAUUGUCAUUGAUAUGGUUAUAUUUAUAAAUUUACUGUUUACAAAUUUUGGAAUUUUUUGAAAUACUAAGGAUUUUCUACCUCAGGCAUAGAUGACCUUAGCUGUAUUUGGCAAAACGUUUAGGAUUUUGGUCCUCAAUGCUCUUCAACUUCUUACUUUAUUUGGGCUUUUUAACUUUUUUGAUUCGAGCGUUACUGAUGAGUCUUUUGUAGACGAAACGCGCGUCUGGCGUAUAUACUAAAUUUAGUCCUGGUAUCUAUAAUGAGUUUAUUUAAUUUGCACAACGCGAAACAAAUCUGAACAAAACAACAUGUCUGUCAAAAUGGUUUAACUUCCUCAACAUAACUGUGAAGCAAGACAAAGAAAAUAUGCAGUACUUUAUGAAAAAACACAAAAAGCACAAUGCAUGUCUAUGUAAUUAAUUACAAAAAACACGCUUUUUGUACCUUUUAUGGUCAUAUUUCAGUAUAUCAUGAUAUAUUUGAAAUUUAAUCUUUGGUGUAUCUGAUAGUACAGUAAAAUUAAAGUAUAUUCUUCCCUUUAAAGCGUUCAUUUGCUUAUGGAAACCUUCAAUUUGUUGAAUUUCCAUCAAACUUGAUCGUGAAAGAUCAGGCAACCGCAUUAUUUGAUCGUGAAAGAUAAUGCGUGACCAGACUUAAUACUAGUAAUCAGAAAUCAGUAUUUCUUUUACCAUUUGAAAAACCUGCAACUGGUUGAAACCUGUAACUAUUUGAUAAGGAUGAACAUUAAAGCUAUUAUAUUUUUUUCAAUUCCACACUUUACCUCGAAUGUUAAAAAAAACAACAACUAAAAACGUGUCUAAAUAAGUGUGAAAGAUUCAGCUCUGAGAAUCGGUCUAGUGCUAUUCAGGCAGACCGACACUAUUUAGCAAAUAAUAUGGAUAUGCAACGUUUAAACAACAAUGUUAUCCAUCAAACAAAAAAUUACAACAAAAAACAUGCAUCUUUCAUGAAUAAUUUGAGAUUGAAAGAUAACCAACAUUUUGUACAACAGUACUUUCUUAGUUAUUAUAUACAACGCAGAUAUUGAUUGAUUUAACUAUAUACUACAGACUAUAGAAUAUCAGAGUGCAAAUGCUGUAAUGUCUCGUCUGCUUAACUUAUGAUAGUAUAUUUGUUGAACGUCUAUAAUAUCAAGGGUUUUACUAGAAGUGUCAAAUGCGCUUAAGAUUGUCAAUGGUUCAUAAAAAGAGGUCAAGGUCAGAUGAACCAUGCCAUACAGAUCUCUACAUAUAUCCCUUUCACCAAAUAAAUGUGUUCAGAUUCUUACAGUGCCUUAGAAACUGACAAGUGUAAAAGUUAUGUUUGACCAAUUAAUUCGGAACAUAAGGUCAAAAGUAUAUGAACCCUGACCGACAGCCAGACAUAGACAUCUUAUUAUCAUUCAAUAUAUAAAAUACAAUGACGUCAUCAUGGUCAUAUAUGAAACAUGCAGACAGACAUGUACACCUUUCACGAAAUACCUUGGCGCUAUAUCAUACAGGUAUAUAUCCAAAAGGCCAAACAACAUAAAAGUAACAUUGCCGAAUUGUUGGGGGACACACCAAUAAUAUCACGACUUCCAGUUUUCACAAUUCUUAUACCUUCUUCGUAGUAACUUAAAUUUGGAAAAUAUUAUGGCAAAACUUUGAAAUGAAGGGUAGCUAGCGUAUUUAUUUCAUUUUCAGUUCCAUGUUUCAUUGCUUUUUUCUGUGUAUCAUUUGGAUCUGUUUGUCUUUGCUGUCCUAUUGCUUCCUGAAAAAAAAGGCUUUCUGUUUUUUAAUCAGUCAAGGCCAAGUGCUUGGUGUGCUUUGCUUCCUGUCGCUUUAAAUGCGGCUCUGACUUCUUCCCAUAUCUUGGUUCUUUGUUUUAUAAGGUGUGUAGGGGUCUCUUCGUCUUCACUUAGAAUGUCUUUCAACAAAUUGUGAUCUUUUCAAGUGAAAAACGAUGGUGAUGCAGACAAAUCAACUUUAGUGCAAAAGUCAUUGAUAUAUUCGUUAGAUUCAUUAAACUGUGAAAUAGCAUUUAGAAUACAAUUGUGUGCUUUAAGCGCAUCUGAAAUUACAGCCUUUGUCCUGUAUAUAUGUGUUGUAAUCACAUCAAUAAUGUAGGAGUAGUUUUUGCUAAUUUCCUUUUCAUCUUUCAGUAUAAGUUUAUCGAGUGCGUAAGUUUGUUUGCUAAUUAGUUGGCGCAUGUCUUUAGUCGCAAGACUGAGAUUAAAAGAUACAUAUCUUAGGCUUGUAAUAAAUUCGUUCUAAUCUAGUUGGCUUAGAACUGAUUCUUCGAAAUGUUUUAGACGAUCAUAUAAAUCCGUUAUCUGUUUUUAUCUUACCUCCUAUACAUUUCUAGGAAUGUGAUUGGUUAAAAGCGUCCGCGUGAAGACCGUGUAUAUUUGAUAUUAGGUUAGUAGGGAGGCGGUGCUUAUUUCAUACACGGUUAGUAGCGGAGUAACGUCCAUUUAUAUUCCAUAUUAGGUAGUAGGGAGGCGGGGCUUAUUUCAUACACGAUUAGUAGUGGUGUUACGGAACUGAGAACAAAUCUUAAAGUUUUCAACAGACGAAGAAAUUGAUGAUUAAGAUUGAAAUAAAUUUAUUAAACACAUUUAAACCUAACAAGUUGUUAUCGUUGGCUAUUGUUCUUGUAGGAUUAAUGGAAGUAUUUUCUUAAUGCUAACAGUAUUGAAGACUGGCUUGCUCAUUAUGAUAGAUCACAAGUCUAAAUUUUACACGUUAAGAUAGUCGUUAAGAUAAAAUCGUUACAUAGUGUGCCAAUGACAUAAUACGGUAUAUAUAGGGUCAGUAAAUUCCAUAUGGGGAUUCGAGAUUCGCUCUCACCCCAUAUGGAAUUUACUGACCCCAUUUAUACUGUAUUAGGUCACUAGCACACUAUGUAACUAAUAAUUCAUGGUUUGAAAUUGUUCCCGUUUAAUUUUCAGUGGUAUUUCUUCGUAUCCAAGUAAAUCGACGUCACCAGAAUCAGAUGUCAAACCUGGUGCCAAUUUCUUCCCAUUAAAUGUUAGUGAAACAACAUUCUUUACAUUAAAUCGAAUUUAUCGGUAAAUUCGGGUAGAUUCCGAUCUGUGUUAAAAGUCUCGAUAUGAAUAUGGCUGGGAACUGCAAAAUUGAUGAGAGCGUUGUCGGGAUCAUAAAAUCCUUUGCUUGUAUGACAUUGUUGGCUAGUGUUUUUAUAUCCAGUCAUAAACCUUUGAAAACGUCCAUGAAAUAGAAUUUUGCCAAUGUACCAGAACUGCUUGGUUUCUUCAAACGGAUACCGCAUUAAUAUUGUUGUGGGUGUACUCCAAAACCCCAAAAUGUCACAAAACAAUAAAAAGCAAAUAUUUGAAAAGUCGAAUUUCUUAUUUGCUAUUAGAUUGAACAACAUUAAAAGAUACUGUAGGCAUCCAAUAACAAUUGGUAAUAACUUAACAAUCUCAUUCAUUUCCACAUCAUCUUCACAAUAUUCGUAUGUUGUUUCUGUAACGUUAUCUGCAUCUUCAACCUCUUCCAUUGGCUCACAUUCACUGGAUGUUUUUUUUCGGCGUUUUGUCACCCAUUGUCUUUUCUUAUUGCCGUAAUUGUUAUUUCUUUUUCUAUUCGUUUUCUGAAAAUAUUAAUACUUUGAAAUGCUUAAAUUUAUUGAGGAUGUUGACCUAUCUAGCUUUUCUCAAUACCAAUAACAAAUAUUAAUUCUCAUAUAAUCGAAAGAAUAAUUUGAACGUCUUCGUAGCAUCAGAUCUUUCACGAUCCUUUCACGAUCUUCAAAAAUGCGGUACGUGAUCAUUCACGAUCAGAAAAAUCAAUUUUCUGUAAAUAGUUCUUUAUUUAACUAGUUUAGAUUAUAUUUAUACACAAUAACUAUGAGAACCAUUUGAUUCAUUCAAAUAGAAUGCUCUUAUUCGGAUAAAAGAAGUUUAUUUAGUCGAAUUUGUGAAAAAAAUCAUGUUUGUUUACAUUUUUUAUGUCAUUGAAAUGUCGAGAAGCAAUCUGACUUUUGUUGUUUUGUAAUAACUAUGUACUUUUAAAACUGGAUAUUCUCACAUACUGAUCAUAAUGUUGAACCAUUUUGACAGACAGUUUUAUUUUAUCAUAAAUCUGUCUGUGUAAUUAAUGAAUUAGAUUAUUUUCUGACCUUUCAUAUGUCUUCUCGAUUGAAUGUCUUUCACGAUCCGUUACCAGAGCUUUCACGAUCGUCUUUCAAUACUUGACCGCCGUUAGAUAUUCUUUCACGAUCAUUUUUCUCGUUAAACCGUAUGACACCCGUGGAUACGAAUCUUACACUAAAACCAAAGAUAUUUUAAAAACCUAUUUUAUUGCUUAACAUUUCAAAAUGAAAAUGUUAACAGAUGCUUUGAACAAGUAAGAAAAGAUUUGUUUCGCUAUGAACAUAUUUUAUGUUCCGUCUUAGUUUUAAAAACAAGUUUUUACUUUUCGAAAGAAUUGCGAUACUCAUUGAAAGUAAUCACGAUAGAAAAAGUAUCGCGACGAAACUCAUGAUCGAAAAACAGUAGAACAAAAUAAAUCUGGACUGAUAUUCAAUGUCCAUGCCAUACAUAUGUCUAAAAUCGACUCUACACAAGAAUAUUCAACAUAAACUACUUAGAUAAACACUAACAAUAUAUGGACACGGAGAAGGAAUUAUAGUAGGUAUUAUAGGUCCACUUUAUGGCCCUUGAAUUCAAAAGUAAAAUUACAACAAUACUGACCUCCAUAGAGAAUUAAAAACCAAUAAAGAACUUAAUAAAUGAUGGCAAAAACAAAAGCUCAAACACAUCAAACAAACAAAUUGAUAAAAACUUUCAUAUUCCUGACUUGGUACAGGCAUUUUCUUAUGUAGAAAAUUGUGGAUUGAACCUGGUUUUAUAGCUAGCUAAACCUUUCAUUUGUAUGACAGUCAUCUCUAAUUCCAUUAUAUUGACAACAAUAUGUGAACAAAACAAAAAUGCAUAACAGGUAAAAAUGUCACAAAUAGGGGUACAACAGGCAACAUUGUGUUAUAAUCUUAAUCACUAUAAAAACAAACAAAUAUAGAAUAAGCACAAAAAUUAUCACCAAGAUCUACAAAUUGACAAUAUGAUUUACUAGUAAGUUCAAAUCUGGUAAAUCUAUUUUGUAUAUAAACAACUUAUGGAAUGGCAUGAACUUCGAUAAGAUCGACACCGAAUAUGUUUGAAUUACUGGGUAAAUAGUGAAGUUACCAAGCUUAUAAUUUAUUACGUCAGACGCGCGUUUCGUCUUCAUAAGACACAUCAUUGAUGCUCAAAUAAAAUAGUCAUAAAGCCUUAUAAGAUAAUCCUUACAUGCUAGGCUUUCUGUAUGAACAUCUUAUUACAUCUAUGAACGUACAAUAUUAAUGAAUACAAGAUUUUUAUUGCAGAAAGAAUCAAACUACUUAAAGCUGCCAAACCAGAAAAUGACAGAAAAAUGUCCGCUACAUUGACAAACAUGUUGUGUGCUAUGUGCAGCAUUACGAAGGACACGGGAAAGGAAAAAUGCAUCCCGAAAUUCUGUUUAUAGAAUACAUUGGCUUUUUAACGGCAUUCAAAAGGGAUUGAAAAACAACAGGACCGCAGUUACAAAAUGUAACAGCUUAAAGUCUGCAUUUGAGACCAUUUUUGAUAUAUAACUUAUUCAUGAUAUUAAUAAAAAGCGGAGAGUUUUUGUUCAUUAGCAAAAUUGAAAUAAUAUCAAAACCUUGCAAUAACAUUACAUUAAUUUCAUAUACUAUAUAGGUACAAAUUAUAGCUUCUGUUGUUAUAAAAAAGAAGAUGUGGUAUGAUCGCCUUGAGACAACUCUUCCUGACUUGGGACAAGCACAUACAGAAUGUAGUGGGAUACAUGUUUACGGGCGCCCAACCAUUCCCCUAACCUUGGACAGUGGUGUAGCAGUAUAUCAGAAGGAUAAACUAUAAAAACGGACUAUAAAAACGGGC